GCAAAAUCAGUUUCUCCUGCAGACUGAUGACUUAGACAGUCAGUUAUCCGUCUCAUUGCCUCAAACAUAGUUGGAGCACCAGCUCCUUGGCAUGAAUCUGAACCAACCUCUUCAUUAUCAAAAAGAGCAAUCAUCCGAAUUGAAUUCUCAUUUGAUAAAUCUUCGGGCAAAGCACAUGAAUCAACAAGAGCUCUCAAACCACAAA
rnacentral:misc_RNA from 1 species